UACGAAGGGGGCUAGCGUUGCUCGGAAUCACUGGGCGUAAAGGGUGCGUAGGCGGGUCUUUAAGUCAGGGGUGAAAUCCUGGAGCUCAACUCCAGAACUGCCUUUGAUACUGAGGAUCUUGAGUAUGGGGAGAGGUGAGUGGAACUGCGAGUGUAGAGGUGAAAUUCGUAGAUAUUCGCAAGAACACCAGUGGCGAAGGCGGCUCACUGGCCCAUUACUGACGCUGAGGCACGAAAGCGUGGGGAGCAAACAGG
rnacentral:rRNA from 1 species